rnacentral:rRNA from 1 species
AUGAUGGAAUGCAACAGAGAAGAGGCUUCCAUGGCCAGGGAAAUUGCUGUAAAGAAGUUGGAAGAUAAAGACUUCGCUGGUGCCCGAAAGAUUGCACUUAAAGCUCAGAUGCUAUUUCCAGAGCUUGAAAAUAUAUCUCAGCUGUUAAGUGUUUGCACUGUACACUGUGCAGCAGAGGCAAGGGUGAAUGGAGAGCCGGACUGGUAUGCAAUCCUUCAAGUGGAGGCAACAACAGAUCAUGCUAACAUAAGAAAGCAAUACCUCAGGCUUGCCUUUUCACUCCAUCCCGAUAAAAACUGUUUUCCUGGUGCUGAAGCUGCUUUCAAGUUGGUUGCUGAAGCUCAUACAAUAUUGUGUGAUCAAACAAAGCGAUCUCAUUAUGAUAUCAGAAGGCAGUAUGCUUCCAGAAAAGUGCCGAAGCAAGCUACACAGCAACAAAAGAAGAGUGGCACACGCAAAUGCGAUGUACCUGGGCAUGUACUGACUUUUUGGACCAUAUGUGCUCAUUGUCAGAUGCGAUAUCAGUAUCACAACCAUGUCCUAAACACUCUGAUCCGCUGUCUGAACUGCCAAAAUAAUUUCUUUGCAUACAAGUACAACUUACAAGAACAGUAUGCGCCGACUUCAUCGAGUGUACCCACUAAUUCUCAAGUUCCAACGAAGACGUUUCCAAGUCAACAAGGCCGCCGUGUGAAGCUUUCUUCUGCACAGGAAACCACAGGUGCGAAUCCAAGGAUGAAUGUGGCCCAAGGUGACGGUUACAUGAAAGGGUAUAGCAGGCCAACCAUGGGCGAGAAAGCUAGUCAGUCAAGAACGACAAGCGGGCAAAGUCAAUUUUCAGCAAUGAAUCAGGAAAAACCUGCUGUACCGACUGCAAAUGAACAUAUGGGUGGAUGGUCAAUACCAGAUCCUCCUGAUCCAAGCAUCAUUGGCAGACCAAAGUCAGGUAGAGCAGAUGCAUCUGCAGCUUCAAAUGCUAUGAAUGUCCCUGGUCCUGCAAAGCUUUCAUCUACAGGUGUUAACACAUAUGCCAAAAUAAGGAUAAAUGUGGCAGAAUGCGAUAUAAAAGGGCAUGACAAUCCUAGUGGCGAGAAGGAAGCUAACGAGUCAUAUAUUACAAAGGGGAAAGUUGAAAUUCCAGCAAAGACUCAAAGUAAAUCUUGUGUCCAAACUGUAAACAUGAACACAGGUGUUUUUGACAGAAAGAACUGUGUAGAGGAUGUAUCUACAGUGUUAAAUGCUGCGGGAUCCCCCGUUCUCCGGAGAUCAGCUAGGAGGACACAAGAUGCUGAUGGCAGUAGUAGCCUCAACUGUAAUAGCAAAAAGAAGCGAAGAAAGAAUAAUUGUCCAUCUAAUGCUGAUUUGAAUGGGAAGCAAAUAUUUGAUGAUAAUGUCACUAACGUUGACAGGCAAUCGGUUCCAUCUGAUGUGUCUGGCAAAGUAGACACCCAAGAGGAAGCUAAAACUCCAGAUAUAGGUGAUCAGGACAAUAUCAGGGCAGAAGUUACAGAUACUGUUGGUCAGAAUCAACCUUGCUAUUCUGUGAAGCUUUCUUUCCCUGACGCAGAAUUUUUCGAUUUUGAGAAGUUGAGGGAUGCUAGUCUGUUUGCAACUGGUCAGAUCUGGGCCCUUUAUGAUAACCUUGAUGGCAUGCCAAGAUAUUAUGCUAGAAUAAAAAGUUUGGAUGCCUCCAACUUUAAAGUUCAUCUCACUUGGCUGGAGCGCAUUGCAAUGAAUGAAGCAGAGGAGAAAUGGUCUGAUGAAGAACUGCCCGUUGCUUGUGGAAGCUUUAGCUUAGGAACAACAGAGAUAUCACAAGACAGACUCAUGUUUUCGCAUAUUGUUUCAUGGACAAAAGGCAAACGAAGGAAAUAUGAAGUACAUCCCAGUAAGGGUGAGGUAUGGGCUCUUUAUAAGGGAUGGAACAUGCAGUGGGGAUCAGAUGCAGAUAAUCAUAGAUCCUAUGAAUAUGAAGUCGUGGAAGUCAUGUCAGAUUUCUCAGUUAGUGCUGGCGUUACUGUUGUCCCAUUGGUCAGGAUUGAAGGCUUUGUGAGCUUAUUUGCGACAGUUAAGGAGAAAUCUGAAAUUGUGGUAGCACCAAGUGAGCUACUUCGUUUUUCUCACAGUGUUCCGUUUUAUAGGACAAAUGGGAAUGAGAAAGUUGGUGUCCCUGGAGGUUUUCUGGAACUUGACACUGCAUGUCUCCCCAUUGACCUGGAUGCAGCGUUUCCUUGUGUUUCUCUUCACUCCUGCAUGUCCCCUGGCAAGAAAGAGGGCAGCACAUCCAUUGAUUUGAGCACUGACAGUGCAAGCAGUAGAGGAAAACAUGAAUAUGUUUCUUCUGAGCCAAACACAUCCUUGCAGAGAAAUCCCAAUGGUCCUAAUGCUUUAGGUGACUUCUCUGAGCAAAAUAGUCCCUCCUUAGUUUAUACAUAUCCUGAUUCUGAAUUCUAUAACUUCGAAGAAUGCCGCUCAUGUGAGAAGUUUGAACGUGGACAAAUAUGGGCUUUAUACAGUGAUGUUGACAACUUUCCUAAGUUCUAUGGCUGGGUAAGCAAAGUCGAGCUAGAACCUUUCAAAGUGUAUUUGACCUGGCUUGAAGCUUGUCCCCAAGUGGAGCAGGAGAAACAGUGGUUGGAGCAGGAUAUACCAGUCAGCUGUGGUAAAUUUAAAAUUCGAAGCUGGAAAACCAUGUACGAAACAAACGAUACUUUCUCUCAUUUAGUAUGCACGGGACAUGAUCCAAACCAGCAGAUUGAAAUUGUUCCGCAAGUAGGUGAGAUUUGGGUCAUCUACAUGAACUGGACACCUGACUGGACUCCCUCGAGCCCUCAUGCUUGCGGAUUUGAGAUCGGUGAGAUCAUUGAGCGCACUGAAGCUAGCACAAAAGUUUCUCUUCUUACUCAGGUCAAUGGUUACACAGCGGUGUUCAAGCCUGGCAAGCGAAAGAGAGUUGUGGAGAUACCUACAGGGCACAAUCUGAAGUUCUCUCACCGGGUGCCCUCGUUCUGUCUGACGGAAGAAAAUGGCGGCAAGCUCGGCGGCUUCUAUGAGCUGGAUUCAGCCUCUGUUCCAGAUGUCUUCCUUUACAAGGAUGCCCAAUGA